CAUUGCACUGGCACCUACAACCAGAACACACUGGGAGAACAACGGAGGACGGCAACAGUGUCCAUCUGACAUCAUUCACUACAGGUCUCUUCUUCCUUUUGGGCAGCAGCUGUGAAGAUGGCUGCUUCUUACUGGGUUAUUGUAGCGGUCGUUCUUUUGAUGACUGCUACAAACGGUGCGACUGCUAUUGAGACACACGAGCUCGCACCAAUUGUUCAAAACAUUCUGAACAGGUACACACCUAGCUACGGUCCAAACGACGACAG